rnacentral:lncRNA from 1 species
AAGGAGAAGGUUAUAAAUAAUCUCAUCCACACCCAAUCCUAAACCCUAGCCGCCAGAGCCCUCGCCGGAGAAGACAGCCCAGCCACCGGAGGAACCGACCACCGCCACAUGCCGCCGUACCGGAGCACUUUUUGGCCGCCAAAUGAGGUAAAAUUUCUCCUCUUGGCUCGAAUUUUGAUACUAAACCCCCAUAUGGCCAAAUCGGAGCCAAACCACCGGCCAAUUGGCUAGAAAAUGCCGUCGAAGCCCAGCGGCGCCGUCGCGAGUUUUUUCAAUUUUUGCCUCCGAUAAGGCCCUUCCCGAUUCUCGAUUCUCGUUCGAUGUAAUUUUUACACUACUGUGACCACUGUCCUUUCUUCUACAGGUUGAUUGGAGCAAAACACCAAAUCACAACUCGCGCCGGAGGAGCCGCCGCACCCGAGAGCUCUGCCGCCGAUAAGUCUCAGUUUUCUGUAUUUUUUUGGCCCACCGAGGGCCCUACAUGUGUUUCCUCGCAGGAACUGGUGCUAGUUUGGCUGAAUUUGGCCAGAAACGGCUGAAAACAGCCAACCCGAGGCGGAUCGCCGCCGUGGGUGGUGGCGCCGUCGCCGGAGAGCCGAGGAGGUCCUAUGUAACGCCCAACAAUUUUAGAAUUUUAUUGUUAUUAUUAUUAAUUUUAUUUUUUAUAUUUUAUUUUAUUUAUUUAGUUUAUUUUAAUUUAAGUUAAUAAAAAUAAAAACAACAAUAAUUGUAACAUUGGGUAAAGAUAUUAUUUGGAUUUAAUUGAAAUUGAUUUUGGGAAAAAAGGGUGAAAAUUAGGAUUUUGGGGGUAUUUUUGAAAAGAAAAUCGGAAACCAGAGGUCAAAACGCAAUUUAGAAAAAUUACGCCACAUCAGUAGCCACGUCAGCAGCCUAGUCAGCAGCCCUGGCCAACCAGGGACCUGCCACGUGGCAAGACCACGUCGACCCCAGGAACGAGCCACGUGGGCGAUCCGCGUGCGUGCGAUCGGACGACUCAGAUGCGUCCCCGCGCGCACGGACUGCCCAGAUCAAGCGUGCGCACGGACAGCCCAGAUUUAAUCAAAAUGGACGGCUGUGAUCAAAAGGCAAAAGGGUAUAAAUAAAACCCCCACACCUGACCACAAAAACCCUAGCCACCUGCCCUCGCCGGAGAAGACGAACCAGACGCCGAAGGAGCCGGCCGCCGCCACCCGCCGCUGCACCGGGGAGAUUUCCGACCGCUGAUCGAGGUAAAUUUCAUACCCCCGACUCGUUUUUCCACGCUGAUUUCCUCUGUGGCCAAAUCAGAGCCAAAAUCCCGGCCAAACGGCCGAAAAACACGGCCGAAACCCAGCAGCGUCGUCGCGUCCCUCCUCGGUUUUUGCCUCCGAUGAGGCCCUUCCCGACCUCCGUUUGAUACAAUUUUUAUAUCACCGUGAUCACCAUUCUUUUUUCUACAGGUUGAUUGGAGCCAAAUCACCAAAACACGAACCUCGCCGGAGAGCCGCCGCACCCGAGAGCACCGCCGUCGGUAAGCUUCGGUUUUUCGUAAUUUUUUUGCCCCCCGAGGGCCCUAGGGUCGUUUUAUCGCAGAGACCGAUGCAAGUGUGGCCGAAUUCAGCCGGAAAUGGCCGAAAACGGCCAACUCGAGGCGAAUCGCCACCGCUUGCGGCGGCGCCGUCGCUGGAGCACGGCGGAGCCGCCGUGCCGGAAUUGCGAUAUUGGCCGAAAGGGGCCCUGGGUCUAAUUUGGAAUUUUUGGGACACGUGCAGGUACCAGUAGUGCGUUUCAGUUCCCCGAAAAAAAUUCAGAAAAAAUUAGGGACAGCCUGUAGGCGCACUUUAGAGCCGUAUUCGGACCCCGAAACAAGUAAGGAUUCCUCACCCUAUUUCCUAUCACGGUAUUAAAGUGCAAUAAAUGAUAAAAUGGUAUUUCAUGAAUCAAUAGCUGUGUGAAAUUGUUUGAGGUUGCUAAUGGAGCCCGAGUCUGGUGUAUUUGUCGGUCAGUUGUUGUUUGUUCUAUUUUACAGUUUUAAAUACAGUAUGAUGUCUGAUGUUUUUAUUUCAUAGUUUCGUGUGCAUGUAUCACUGUUUCAUUGAUUAUAGACUGAAUGACUGAGAACCCGAUGUUGUGUGUUGUCUUGUUGGCGUGAACUACCGGUUUGCAUAUUUGUGUGUGAUUUGAUGAUGCUGACUGAGGAAAAAGGGGGAUGAAAGGUUAUGUAAAUUGAUAAUUGUAUAAUGUGGUCAGCCUGACUAGAUAUUCUGGGAGAUGGUGGACGGACCGGGUCCGUAGGGAACCCUACCGGGACUGUGGUUUGUCAUACCGGACGGGAUAUGGAGACCUUAUGUCUUUUGGCGCCCAUACCGGACGGGGUAUGGGGACGACCCGUUUCACCCUCAUACCGGACGAGGUAUUGAGGUUUAUAAUUUUGGCGCCCAUACCGGACGGGGUAUGGGGACGGCCCUGGAAUCUGAUUACAAGUGUUAAGGGUUCACGAGUAGCGGGACCCCUAUGGAUCCCCAUGGAUACUAGUAGGCUGGUAAAUGAAGAAAAAUAUGUUGUAAAAUGAUUGAAUUGCAAAAGGCGUGAUAAGUAUUAUGUUAUACAGCUCAUAUGAUUUCAUGAUGAUGAUAAUGUUAUUGCUUUCGUAUAUUGUUUUAUGAAUUUCACCGAGGUAAGUGGAUAGUAAAUGAUUUUAUUAUUGAUAAAAGAAUUUGUUGUAAAUUAUGCUCCAUUGGUCUUUUUGUAUUUUCUACCCACCUUUACCUCCGUGACUGUGAGAUAGUGCGUACUCUUUACUGAGCUGGUGUAGCUCAUUCCUUAUUUAAUCAUUUCAGAUCAGGAAGACAUUGUUCCCGAGCCCGUUCCGCAGGAAGACGGCGAAGGGGACGCCUAAAGACUCCGUAGCUAUAUUUAUAGCUUUUACUUUCGAGUUUCUCUUUUAGUUAGUUUGUUCUUUUAUACUUUGAGCACGUUUUUUGUUUUAGUGUGAGGGAUGUUAAUCGAAAUUUUUAUUUCGCUUCCGCAUUUGACCUUUUUAAUACACGUAUUUCAUUUUAAAUUUCCGGGGCCGUUACAUCCUAGGUCUGGUUUGGAGUUUUUUGGGGACAUGUGUAGGUACCGAAAAUGUGUUUCAGUUCCCGGAGAAAAAUUUAGAGAAUCUAGGGACUGCCCGUAGGUACAGUGAAAAACUGAUUUUAGACUUCGAAUCAAGUAAGGAUCUCUCACCCACCCUAUAUCCUAUCAUGGUAUUAAAGUCUAAUAAAUGAUAAAACGGUAUUUUGUGAAUUCAUGGAUAUGUAUAAUUAAUUAAGGUUGCUAAUGGAGCCCGAAUCUAAUAUAUUUUUCGGUCAGUUCCUGUUUGAUUUAUUUUACAAUCUAAAUACAGUGUAGUAUCUGAUUUAUUUAGUCUGUAGCUUUGUAUGCAUGUUUCACUGUUUAAUUUAUUAUGGUUUGAUUAUUGUGAACCCGAUGUUAUGUUUGCCUUAUUUGGUAUUCGUUACUGAUUUAUGUAUUCAUGUUUAAUUGGGUAAUUGAGACUAAGAACAAAUAGGAAUGGGAUUAAGUUGAUAAAUGGAUAGGUUAACAACCUCACUAGACAUAUUGGGAGAUGGUGGACAGACCGGGUCCAUAAGGGACCCUACCGGGAAUGUUGUCUCUCAUACCGGACGGGGUAUGGAGACUUUAAAUAUUUUGGUGCUCCGAGCCUGUUGGUCAGGAAGACGGCGAGUAGAUGCCUAAAAGAUUUUAUAGCUUUUCUUAUAGUAUUCAUUUCUAGUAUUUACUUUAGUUAGCUUAUUCUUUCAUACGUUUAAUACGUUUUGCUUAUUGUGUAAGGGAUGUUAAACAUAAUAUUUUAUUUCGCCUCCGCACUUAGAAUUCUUAUAUAUACGAUCCUUUUAAUUUUCGGGGCCGUUACAGUUGGUAUCAGAGCCGCGUUCCUCGGACUCCGAUUAAUCGUUACUCAACACUUCCUUGUGAAAGAUAGGUGCAGAGAGAUGAUGAGAGAAAGACCCCCACUAAAUCGAGCAGCCCGGGAUGAUUCGCUUCGGAAAGAUGUAGACAGAAUAUUUGAGAUGCUAGAAAGGAUCAUUGCUGCCCAGUAAGGCUGAGAGGAGAGAAGGGAGUUACCCGACCCCCCCCCCCCACUACCACAGGUUGAGUCACUGCUACAGCGAGCGGAUCCCGAGCCACCUCGGCACGAGCUUGCUCCUCCACAGUACCCCCCGACACCACCAUCGCAGUAUAAUCCGGUGGCCUAGCCACAGUACUGCCCGGUACUGCCACAGUAGAAUCCAGUGCCCCCAUUAUAUCAGCAAGUGCCACCACAGGCCCCCCCAGUCUAUCCUUAGCCCAGCCCAGUCCCUCUUCCAUGGGACCCAACACCUUCCCUAAUUGACCCGGGCUACAUAGAGAGGUACAGAAGACUUAACCCUUCCACUUUUGCAGAGGAGUCCUCUUUGAAGAUGACCAGUACUGGUUUGCGGAGACAGAGAAGGCUUUUAAGACCUUAGGAGUGGUUCCCAAGUAGAGGGUUACCCUUGCUUUCUACAUGCUGGUGGGGGAAGUAGGUCGUUGGUGGGAGCUCAAACAGACCACCCUACCUACAUCAGUCACUUGGGAGCAGUUCUUAGCAGCAUUUCAUGCGGAGUACCUCCCCGAGCAUAUCCAACAUCUAAAGGAGAUGGAGUUUGUCCAGUUGGUCCAGGGAAACAUGACGGUAUCGGAAUAUACUCGUAAGUUCUUAGAGCUGGGCCGAUACUCCCCUGAGACAUUGAUAGAUGAGGCAAGGAAGACUAGGAGGUUCUAGUGGGGCCUCCGCCCAGAAAUCAAGUAGCACUUAUUGGUACUAGAGCUCAAGACAUAUUCAGUCGUUUUGGCAAAGGUGCAGAUUGUGGAGAGGAGUUUCAACACCCUUCCUCAGUCAGCAGGAAGUCACAGACCCUCAGCUCCACCCCGCAGACCAGCACCUACUGCGCCUGUCCAACAAAAUAAGAGGCUCAGACCGGCGAUCUAGGCUCCCCCUCAAGCUCCAGGGGCAACACGUGGCAAGAUCUGUUAGCACUGCGGCAGGGAUCACGGGGACCGACCAUGCUAUCGCCUCAACAACACCUGUCGCAUAUGUGGUAGUGCCCAACACUAUACGAGAGAGUGCGCGAGGAACCAGAACCAAGGAAGACCUCCUAUUCAGGACAGGGUUUACAACCUCACAUAGCAGGAUCCCGAUGUCGAUCCGGACGUGGUACAUGGUAUGUACACUAUCUGUAACUAUAUUGCUCAUAUUUUAUUUGACACUGGUGCAUCGCAUUUAUUUGUUUCACGUGUUUUUGCAUCCAAACUUAAUAUAUUACUUGAUAAACUUGAUUCAAUGUUAUUUGUGUUUACUGCUGAAGGUGAAACACUAUUAGGGGAAGUUGUCUAUAGGGCUUGUGCCGUGAAGAUAGCAAAUAGGAAACUGAGUGUAGACUUAAUAGGGUUGGACACGGGAGAUUUUGAUGUAAUUUUAGGGAUGGAUUGGCUAGCGGUGUAUCACGCCACCACAGAUUACUUUAACAAGAAGGUUGUAUUUAAUCUUCAUAAUGAGGAGCCAUUUACAAAUUAAUAAAAUUAUUUAGUACUUAUUCCUUGAUGGCAAGUUUCCUUAAUUUUCAAGUACUUUAACCUGACUAUUUUCUCUAAUUAGGCAAGCCCAAUAAGGAAAUUUGUAUCCAAGAGAUUUCGGUAGUCUGAGAUUUUCCAGAUGUGUUUGCGGACGAACUACCCGGACUGCCAGUGGACAGAGAAAUUGAGUUCACUAUAGACCUACAACCAGACACCCAGCCCAUUUUGGUUGCUCCUUACCGCAUGAGCAGCAUUGAGAUGGAAGAGUUGAGGAAACAGAUAACUGAAUUGCAAGACAGUGGUUUUAUUAGACACAGUGUGUCUUCUUGGGGUGUCGGAGUCACUUUCACCAGGAAGGGAGAUGGAACGUUGAGACUGUGUAUUGAUUACAGAUGAUUGAAUAAUGUCACAAUCAAGAACAAAUAUCCCCUUCCCAGAAUUGAUGACCUCUUCGAUCAGCUGCAGGGUGCGCAGGUCUUCUCCAAAAUAGAUCUGCGAUCAGGUUACCAUCAGGUAAAAAUAAGAAUAGAAGACAUCCCCAAAACGGCCUUUCGAACCCAGUACGGACACUAUGAGUUCCUGGUUAUGCCAUUUGGGCUAACCAACGCCCUGACCAUCUUUAUGGAUCUGAUGAAUAGGGUCUUCAGAGAAUUCUUGGAUCAAUUUGUUAUCGUGUUCAUCGAUGACAUCUUGGUCUACUCAAAAAGCAGAGAAGAGCAUGCUCACCAUCUAGCCCAAGUUUUGUAGGUCCUAAAAAAAAAGAAGCUAUAUGCAAAUUUGAGUAAGUGUAGAUUCUGGCUUGAGCAGACCGUCUUCCUAGGACACAUUAUAUCGAAGGAAGGAGUAUCAGUGAAUCUCGAAAAGGUUGAAGCGGUACUUGGUUGGGAGAAGUUGACAUCAGUUAAGGAAAUCCGUAGCUUCCUAGGAACUGCAGGUUUGUCGAAGGAUUCUCUAGUCUAGCAGCUCCCCUAACUCGACUCAUAAAGAAGAAUGCCAAGUUUGAGUGGAAUGAAGACUGUGAGAGAAGUUUUUCAGAAUUAAAGGAGCGGGUAACCACUAUACCCGUGCUGGCUUUACCAAGUGAAUUAGGGGGAUAUACAGUUUAUAGUGAUGCCUCCUAUGUAGACCUGAGUUGUAUCCUAAUGCAGCAUGGAAAGGUCAUAGUUUAUGGGUCCAGACAGUUAAAGAAUCAUGAGAAGAAUUAUCCCACCCAUGACUUGGAACUUGCUGCAAUCAUACAUGCCUUGAAAACCUAGUGCCAUUAUUUAUACGGAGAGACCUUUCAGAUCUAUACCGAUCAUAAGAAUUUGAAACACAUAUUCACUCAAAAGAAUCUCAACAUACAUCAGAGAAGGUGGAUGGAACUCUUUAAGGACUAUGAUUGUGGUAUCUUGUAUUAUCCGGGUAAAGGCAACGUGGUGGCAGAUGCUCUCAAUAGGAAAAGUGCAGGUAUCUUAGCCCAUUUGAUGAUUUCAGAACGCAAACAAAUUGGGGCCACACAACAGGUUCGGCUUCAGGACCUGAAGAGAGUCGCAUGUUUGAGCCAUCUGACCGUUCAGCCCAAGUUAAUACAGAGAAUAAGGGAAGCUUAGUCAGUCGACCCCACCCUAAUAGCCCGCAAGAAUGAUGCAGAACAUGUAGUGAGCUCAGAAUUCUGAGUCUCUGCCGAUGGGUUACUCCGGUUUCAAGACAGGGUGUGUGUCUCAGAUGACAGUGAGCUAAAGAGAGACAUCAUGACAGAGUCCCAUAACUCAAAGUUUGCCAUGCAUCCUGGAAGCACUAAAAUGUACCAAAGCAUGCGACCCCAGUUUUGGUAGAAUGGGAUGAAGAGGGACAUAGCUGACUUUGUAUCUAAAUGCUUGAUAUGUCAGUAGGUCAAGGCAGAACAUCAGUGCCCAGGCGGGUUACUUCAGCCUUUACCGAUCCCAGAGUGAAAGUGAGAACAUAUCACCAUGGACUUCGUAACGGGAUUACCCAAGGUACAUUCAGAACAUGACGCCAUCUGGGUAAUUGUUGACCGGCUUACCAAGUCUUUCCACUUUCUAGCCAUCAGGAUGACCGAUCCCUUGAACAAGUUGGCAAGAAUGUAUAUCCGAAAAAUAGUCAGAUUGCAUGAAGUUCCAGUGACAGUGGUAUCCGACAAGGACCCGAGGUUCACUUCUCGGUUUUGGAGUAGCUUUCAGCAUGCCAUGGGAAUAAAGCUGUCUCUCAGUACUACCUUCUAUCCUCAGACUGAUAGAUAGUCAGAAAGGACAAUCUGUACACUUGAGAAUAUGCUCUGAGCUUAUGUCUUUGACUCUGGGGCCAUUGGGACGACCAUCUACCCUUGAUAAAAUUUGCCUACAAUAACAACUACCAAGCGAGCAUUGGCAUGGCUCUGUAUGAAGCGUUAUAUGGGCGCCCAUGUAAAUCACUGAUUUGUUGGGAAGAAGUGGGCGACAGAAAAUUAUUUGGCCCGGAGUUGGUGGAGGAGACCACGUCUAAAAUAGUUAUAAUUAGAAAGAACAUUCAGACGGCUCAGAGCAGGCAGAAGAGUUAUGCAGACACCCGGAGGAAGUAUUUAGCGUUUGAGAAAGGCGACCGGGUGUUCCUUAAGGUCACUCUUUUCAAGGGAAUUAGUAGGUUUGGCAGGAGAAAAAAACUGAACCCCCGAUUUAUUGGACAAUUUGAAGCUUGGACAGGAUUGGUACUGCCGCCUACAAACUAGCACUGCCUCCAAAGCUCUCCAAGGUCCACAAUGUGUUCUAUGUGUCCAUGUUACGUAAGUACAACCCGGACCCCUCUCAUGUCUUGGCUCAUGAAUCGCUUCCACUCCAAGAGGACUUGUCUUAUGAGGAAGUACCAGUCGGUAUCACGGACCGAAAGAGCAGAAUACUCCACAACCGAAAAAUAUCAUUUGUAAAGGUCGUGUGGCAGAACCACACGCCAAGGGAGGUUACCUGGGAGCUAUAAUCAGACUUUAGAGCUCAGUAUCCCCAUUUGUUCGACCAGAAGUAAGAAGCAAAUUUGGGGGACCAAAUUUCUUUAAGAGAGGAGAGUUGUAACAACCUAAUUUUAUUAUUAUUAUUAUUAUUGAAAUUAUCAUAAUUUUAAUUUUUUUAAUUGAUUUAUUUAAGUAAUACUAUAAUUGUUUUAAUUUAGUUUAAUUUAAUUUAAUAGAAAUAAUAAUAAUAAUAAUAAUAAUAAUAGGUAAAAUUAUUUUUGGGGUUUAAUUGAAAAUAAUUUUAGAAAAAAUGGUGAAAAUUCAGAUUCUAUGGGUGUUUUUGAAAAGAAAAUCAGAAACUGAUGGUCAAAACGUAAUUUAAAAAAAUUACACCACGUCAGCAGCCCGGUCAGAAGCUUCGGCCAAUCAGGACACGCUGCGUGGUAGAGACGCUAAUGCGGGAAGGCUACGCGGAACGAGCAACGCAGAACGGGUCACGUGGGCGAUCCGCGUGCGCGCGAUCUGAAGGCUGAGAUUCAUUUCCGCAUGCACAGACGACCCAGAUCAAACGCGCGCGGGGACGGCCCAGAUUGCACGCAUGCUGACGGUCCAGAUUGAAUUACGCACGGACGGCCCAAAUCGCAUCGCGAUGGACGGUUCAGAUUCAUUUCCAAUUUAAUCGCGAUCAGACGGUCCAGAUUAAAUCAUGAUGGACAUCUCAAAUUAAAAGGGAAAGGUUAUAAAUAAUCUCAUUCACACCCAACCCCAAACUCUAGCCGUCAGAGCCCUCGCCGGAGAAGACAGCCCAGCCAUCGGAGGAACCGACUACCGCCACCCAUUGCCGCGCUGGAGCACUUUCCGACCGCCAAACUAGGUAAAAUUUCUCCCCUUUGCUCGGAUUUCAAUGCUGAACCCCCCUGUGGCUAAAUCGGAGCCAAACCACCAGCCAAUUAGCCAGAAAACACCGUCGAAGCCCAGUAGUGCCGCCGCGGGUUUUCUCAAUUUUUGCCUCCAAUGAGGCCCUUCCCGAUUCCCGUUCAAUAUAAUUUUUACACCACUGUGACCACAUUCCUUUCCUCUACAGGUUGACCAGAGCAAAACGACAAAUCGCGACUCGCGCCGGAGGAGCCACUGCACCCGAGAGCUCCGCCGCCAGUAAGUCUAAGUUUUAUGUAUUUUUUUGGCCCACCGAGGGCCCUACGUGUGUUUCUUCGCAGGAACUUGUGCUAGUUUGGGUGAAUUCGGCUAGAAACGGUCGAAAAUAGCCAACCCGAGAUGGAUCACCACCGUGGUCGGCGAUGUCGUCGUUGUAGCACGGCGGAGCCGCCGUGCCGGAAUUUUGAAAUUGGCCGAGGAGGCCCUAGGUCUGGUUUGGAGUUUUUUGAGGAUAUGUGUAGGUAUCGGAAGUGUGUUUCAGUUCCCGGAGAAAAAUUUAGGGAAUCUAAGGACUGCCCGUAGGCACAAUGAAAAACCAAUUUUAGAUUUCGAAUCAAGUAAGGAUCUCUCACCCACCUUAUAUCCUAUCAUGGUAUUAAAGUCUAAUAAAUGAUAAAACGGUAUUUUAUGAAUUCAUGGAUAUGUAUAAUUAAUUAAGAUUGCUAAUGGAGCCCGAAUCUAAUAUAUUUUUCGGUCAGUUCCUAUUUGAUUUAUUUUACUGUCUAAAUGCAGUGUUGUAUCUGAUUUGUUUAUUCUGUGGCUUCGUAUGCAUGAUUCACUGUUUAAUUUAUUAUGGUUUGAUUAUUGUGAACCUGAUGUUAUGUUUGUCUUGUUUGGUGUUCGUUAUUGGUUUAUGUAUUCAUGUUUGAUUGGGUGAUUGAGACUAAGAACAAAUAGGAAUGGGAUUGAGUUGAUAAAUGGAUAGUUUAACAGCCUCACUAGACAUAUUGGGAGAUGGAGGACAUAUCGGGUCCAUAGGGGACCCUACCGGGAACGUUGUCUCUCAUACCGGACGGGGUAUGGAGACUUUAAAUAUUUUGGCGCUCAUACCGGAUGGUGUAUGAGGACGACCCGCUUCACCCUCAUAACGGACGAGGUAUUAAGGUUUAUUAUUUUGGUGCCCAUACCGGACGGGGUAUGGAAACGGCCCUGGAAUUAAGUUGUUAACAUGAAUGGUUCACGUAUGGCGGGAACCUCUAUGGAUCCCCAUGGAUACUGGUAGGCUGGUAAAAAAGGAAAUUUGUUGCCUGAUGAUUGAAAUAUUAAAAGUAUGACAUGUGUUAUGUUACAGAGUGCGUAUGAUUUCAUGAUAUUAUAAUGUUAUUAUUUUCGUAAGUUGUUUUCUUGAAUCUCAUUGAGGUAAGUGGACAGUAAAAGAGUUUUAUUAUUGAUAAAUGAAAUUGUUAUAAAUUAUGCUCCAUUGGUCGUUUUUGUUUUCUACCAACCUUUACUUCUGUGACAGUGAGAUAAUGUGACAUCUUUACUGGGGUAGUGUAGCUCAUUUCUUACUUAACCAUUUCAGAUCAGGAGGACUUGGUUUCCGAGCCCGCUGGUCAGGAAGACGGCGAGUAAAUGCCUAAAAGAUUUUAUAGUUUUCCUUAUAGUAUUCAUUUCUAGUAUAUACUUUAGUUAGCUUAUUCUUUCAUACGUUUAGUACGUUUUGGUUAUUGUGUAAGAGAUAUUAAACAUAAUAUUUUAUUUCGUUUCUGCACUUAUAAUUCUUAUAUAUACGAUCCUUUUAAUUUCCGGAGCCGUUACAAUAUGUGUGUAUAUAUAUAUAUAUAUGUGUGUGAAUUGUAAACUUAAAUUAUAUGAACUGCAAUUGUUUCCCUUAUUGUUCUUAGAUGAAAAUAUAGAUAAAGUUUAACUUUGUAAACAACUGAGAGAAAACAAUAUCUUCAUUGGGAUUAAGAAAAAAAAAAGAAAGAGCUUAGUAGUUGAUUUAUCUAGAUAUUAAAACACAUCAUUAUUUAAUAUAUAUAUAUAUAUAUAAAUUCAGUUUAAAACAGUUUUUGACUUUAUCUUUAACAUUUUAAAAUAUUUUACUAAGUAUUUCUAGUAUUUUUACAAGUAAAUUUUAUUUAAAACAUACGUAUUUUUUGCAUAAGUCAAUGAUAAAAAAUUUAAUUUUUAUUAUGUUAUAAUUUUUUAAAAAUAAUUUUGACUUUUAAUAUAAAUUUAUAUUUGAAAUCUUAUAGAUCACUUUUAUAAAUCACAUAGUUUUUAUUUUUUAUAGUUAAAAUAUUUUCUGCGAUUAAUUUUAAUAAAUAUUAAAUAAUUUUUUAUUAACAAAUUUUUUAGAAAAUGACUAUUUAAUAGAACUUUUGAAACUCAGGUCACAAGCUAUGAUGUAAAAACCUAAAGCUAGAGGUUAUAAAAAUAUUGAAUUAUAUCAACUCUAAUCAGAAGCAAUUUAGAAUUUAGAGUUUACAUUCUUUACUCAGUAAAUCAGGAUGUUCAUUAAGAUUACGGGAAUGUUCUUUUAUAAUAGUUCAUUGUAAUGAGAUAAAUAGUUAAAACAAAAUGAAAUAAAAAUUUUAUGAGGUUAACUUUCGUUGGGCAACUCUGAUGAAGUCCAGGGGAAACUUUUAUUCGUAACGCUUCUGCUGUUCAGAAUUUAGAUCUUAAUCUUCUUGAUUUGAAAUGCUUAAAUAGGAGAAUGAACUACACUAACCUAAUAAGAAUAUCACACUUAUAACCGAUUAUGGAAAACCAAAAGUUUGGUAAAAAAAAUUCAUAAAUUAACAAAUGGAGCCAUUUUCUUUCUUAAAUAAAUUUAUUUAACAUAAAAAUCAUCAUUUCAUAUUUACUCUUAUGAGUUUCCAAAAUCGAUAUAUGAAANNNNNNNNNNNNNNNNNNNNNNNNNNNNNNNNNNNNNNNNNNNNNNNNNNNNNNNNNNNNNNNNNNNNNNNNNNNNNNNNNNNNNNNNNNNNNNNNNNNNNNNNNNNNNNNNNNNNNNNNNNNNNNNNNNNNNNNNNNNNNNNNNNNNNNNNNNNNNNNNNNNNNNNNNNNNNNNNNNNNNNNNNNNNNNNNNNNNNNNNNNNNNNNNNNNNNNNNNNNNNNNNNNNNNNNUAUGAAAUACUAUUUGCAAGUUAUUAAAGGAGACUUUAUAAAGUCAAUUUUCAAAGAGUUACUUUUAAAUUAUUUUUUUAUCAUAAUAUUAUUUUAAUUGAUAAUAAAUAAAUACUGAUGAACUACAAUAAAUAAAAUAAAAACUAUAAUGAUUUAAAGAAGAGUAAUGAUAAGCACUAAAGUAUAUGUUCACUAAAAUCAUAAAAAUGGAUAAUAAAUACUGAGUUAGAUAAAUCAAUUAUUUUUAAAGAAUAUAAAAGUUUAGACAAUUAAAAAUAUAUUUUAAAUUACUAAUGGAAGUGCUUAAUUCAAAUAAUUAAGUUUUUAAAUUUUUUUUAUAAUUUUUGUUAAUAAAAACAAAUUUAUAUUUAGAAUUAUUAAAAAAAUACUUAAUUCAUAUAUAGCUAAUUAUUUUUAAAUAAAUUAUUGGUAGUUCUUAAUUUUAUAAAAAAAAUAUAAAAAUGUAUAUCAUGAAUAAAGUGCAUAUGACGUUUAAUUGAUCGAAUUUAUAUAUUCCCAAUGAGAAAAACAUAUAAACAUUACAAUAAACUUUUCAAAAAAAAAAAAAAAGAAAGUAAUUAUUAGGGUUUUCUCACGUAUAUAGCAUUUACUCCGAACCUCCAUUCGCCAUUUAUCCUCUUAAUUUAAAACAUCAAACAGAAGAACAGACCGUUUUCUUCUUCUUCGUCCUCUUUGUAGAAACCAAUCAAACAUCUGAUCGGCAAUACUUGGGACAAACCCCCACCCAGUCAUUUUGAUCAGAUGCCUCCAAGGAAGCGAGCUCCUGGUCCCCGGUCCAAACGCGGUUCUAGGGCCUCUGCCGAACUCACCGUUCCAAACCCCGUCUCAUCUGACGAACCCUAUCCUCCGGCAACCGCCGACUCGGAAAUUCCUACCAUGGACAACUCACGCUCAGAUAUCAGCCCAAAAACAGCAGCAUUGGAGGUGGUACCGUUACCGCCACCUACACCGCCGGAACUUCCGGAACUCGAAUAUCGAAACGCGCGAUUGAUCGACAGCGACAAAACAAUCGGUGAGGGUGACGACAACGAUAAACCGAAAGUUGACGAGGUCGCAGUUCCGGAGCGGGUUCAAGAUGGAAUUGUUGGUUCGAUGGGUGUGGAGAUGGCGGGCUGCGAGGGAAGUGAGGGCGCUGAGAAGGAUUGGAAUAAGGAGAGUGUUGUGAUGGAGGAUUCGACGUCGGUGAAGAAGAGGAAGAAGGUGGUGAAAGUGGUGAAGAAGGUGGUGAAGAAAGUGGUGAGGAAGAAAGUGGUGCGGAAGGAUAGGGCGGGUAAUCUGGAGGGAGAACAGGAAUUCCAGACACCGGAGCUUUCAAAUGUAGAGGGAACGCUCACUGGGAACGCUGAUGGGGGGCUCGAAGAAGCUUCAAUGGAAGUUGGGAGUCCCGGCCUCAAUGCUUCUGUUGCGGUGGCGGGAGCUUCUGCAACAGAAGGAGAUGGAAAUGUGAAUGGAACUGAGGAAGGUGAUGGGAAAAACGGAGAUUUUGAGACUGAAAUUCUACUUGGAGACGAGAAGAAUGGGUUGAGUGUCUCCGUUGAAGAGCAGAGAGGUACGGAUGGUGGUGAGAUUGAGGAUCCGGAGGGGAGAAGGAAGUUUCUGGAGCUAGGAUGCAUUGGGUGGUGGAAGUGNNN